rnacentral:rRNA from 1 species
CUCUUUCGUCGGGGAAGAAAAUGACUGUACCCGAAUAAGAAGGUCCGGCUAACUUCGUGCCAGCAGCCGCGGUAAUACGAAGGGACCUAGCGUAGUUCGGAAUUACUGGGCUUAAAGAGCUCGUAGGUGG